GUUUUUGCUAUACAACAGAUAUUUUUUGAAGGAAGAUUAUCUGCACUGCGGCAAAAUGCUCAAUUAAGUAUUAUUAUGAAGACAUGAUGUUUAUAAUACCUAUGGUAGGUAAGGUCAGCGUAUUGAUGAUAAGGUCAUUGCAAGCAUGGCGUACGCGUCCUUCGAUUGUUCGUCCUCGAAUGUGAAAGAAUUAAUUUUUAAUGAGGAAAUAUCUACAGUUUCGUUGAAUCUUGCGUAGAAUCUUUCACUACGCGACGAUACUUUUUGAAACAGUUCAAAAGAUUCGCUUAUACUAGCUCAUGGCAUUGACAUACGAACAAUCUUUGAACGAGAAAACACCGGUUGCAGUGAAUGACCCUACGCCCUUGAUAUUCUCGAACACGUUCGCUCCCGUUUGAAACUUACAUUUAAAAAGCCAAAGGAAAAAUGAAAACUGAACAGUCGAAAUGGUAAAUGAUGUAAGUGGCACAAAUCAGCAGAUUUUCAAUAUAAACAAGAAAUAUUUGUUGAA